UACGGAGGGGGCAAGCGUUAUUCGGAAUUAUUGGGUGUAAAGCGCACGUAGGCGGAUAUUUAAGUCAGGGGUGAAAUCCCGGGGCUCAACCCCGGAACUGCCUUUGAUACUGGGUAUCUCGAGUCCGAGAGAGGUGAGUGGAAUUCCGAGUGUAGAGGUGAAAUUCGUAGAUAUUCGGAGGAACACCAGUGGCGAAGGCGGCUCACUGGCUCGGUACUGACGCUGAGGUGCGAAAGCGUGGGGAGCAAACAGG
rnacentral:rRNA from 1 species